UACGGAAGGCAGCAGUGGGGAAUAUUGCACAAUGGGCGAAAGCCUGAUGCAGCUAUGCCGCGUGUAUGAAGAAGGCCUUAGGGUUGUAAAGUACUUUCAUCGGGGAGGAAAAAACAAAACUAAUAAUUUUAUUUCUUGACGUUACCCGAAAAAGAAGCACCGGCUAACUCCGUGCCAGCAGCCGCGGUAAUACGGAGGGUGCUAGCGUUAAUCAGAAUUACUGGGCGUAAAGAGCACGUAGGUGGUUUUUUUAAGUCAGAUGUGAAAUCCCUGGGCUUAAACCUGGAACUGCAUUUUGAAACUGAAAUACUAGAGUAUCGUAGAGGGAGGUAGAAUUCUAGGUGUAGCGGUGAAAUGCGUAGAUAUCUGGAGGAAUACCUGUGGCGAAAGCGGCCUCCUAAACGAAUACUGACACUGAGGUGCGAAAAGCGUGGGGAGCAAAACAGGGAUUAGAUACC
rnacentral:rRNA from 1 species